UGACACAACCCUGGAGAGCCCACUUUAAAGUGGCAUCAACGGAGCAACUUUAUUUCAAUGACAGUUUAUUACAGCAAUGUUAACUUUUUUCAUUAAGAAGGAUUUAAUUAUACUGUAAUGUUAUUGAAAAAUGAACUUAUUCAUUAUUUAAAGGAAUCUUUCAGAUAAAAGGACAGGGAGUAAGAU
rnacentral:ncRNA from 2 species